rnacentral:rRNA from 1 species
AGUGAACGCUGGCGGUAGGCCUAACACAUGCAAGUCGAACGACAGCACCGUAAGAGCUUGCUCUUACGGGUGCCGAGUGGCGAACAGGUGGGGAAUACAUCGGAAUCUACUUUUUCGUGGGGCAUGGCGUCGGGAACCUUUCGCUAAUACCGCCUACGACCUCCGGGUGGACGCAGGAAAUCUUCGUACGUUGUGCGAUUGCAUGAGCCGAUGCGGGAUUAGCUAGUUGUCGGGGUAAAGGCCCACCAAGGCGACGAUCCGUAGCUGGUCUGAGAGGAUGAUAGGCCACACUGGAACUGAAACACGGACAAGACUACUGCGGGAGGCAGCAGUGGGGAAUAUUGGACAAUGGGCGCAAGCCUGAUCCAGCCAGACCGCGUGGGUGAAGAAGGCGUUCGGGUUGUAAAGCCCUUUUGUUGGGAAAGAAAAGCAGCAGGUUAAGACCCCGCUGUUCUGACGGUACCCAAAGAAUAAGCACCGGCUAACUUCGUG